UCGAGCGAACAGACGAGGAGCUUGCUCCUCUGACGUUAGCGGCGGACGGGUGAGUAACACGUGGAUAACCUACCUAUAAGACUGGGAUAACUUCGGGAAACCGGAGCUAAUACCGGAUAAUAUAUUGAACCGCAUGGUUCAAUAGUGAAAGACGGUUUUGCUGUCACUUAUAGAUGGAUCCGCGCCGCAUUAGCUAGUUGGUAAGGUAACGGCUUACCAAGGCAACGAUGCGUAGCCGACCUGAGAGG
rnacentral:rRNA from 1 species